CGCCCCGGUGAAUAUGUUCCUGAGCCUUGUACACACCGCCCGUCAAGCCACGAAAGUUGGGGGUACCCGAAGUCGAGAUAAUCGCCCACGGUAAAACCAAUGAUUGGGACU
rnacentral:rRNA from 1 species